rnacentral:rRNA from 1 species
GGAGGAAUAUUGGGUCAAAUGGGACGGGAGUCUGAACCAGCCAAGUAGCGUGCAGGACGACGGCCCUAUGGGUUGUAAACUGCUUUUAUAGGGGGAUAAAGUGUGCCACGUGUGGCAUAUUGCAGGUACCCCUAUGAAUAAGGACCGGCUAAUUCCGUGCCAGCAGCCGCGGUAAUACGGAAGGUCUGGGCGUUAUCCGGAUUUAUUGGGUUUAAAGGGAGCGUAGGCCGUAGAUUAAGCGUGUUGUGAAAUGCCGCGGCUCAACCGUGGCACUGCAGCGCGAACUGGUUUUCUUGAGUGCGCGCGACGCAGGCGGAAUUCGUGGUGUAGCGGUGAAAUGCUUAGAUAUCACGAGGAACCCCGAUUGCGAAGGCAGCUUGCGGGAGCGCAACUGACGCU